CCCCGCACAGCGUCGACGCGGACGGCGCGUUCUUUCCUCGUUCCUCGGGGACGGGCUGCCUUGUCUGGCAGGCCUCUGCCGUUAGGAUGAGCCGCUGCAGAGCCGAAGGAAGACCUGAGGGAAGGCCGGAGACAGGUGUCCUCCCAGAAGAUAACCAGGCCGUCGGGACACCUGGCGUCCAGCCCCCACUGCGUGGGCCCUAGGCUGGACAAACGGGCAGUGAACAGCAGCAGCCGGCCGAAUACUGCGCUUCCGUGACGGUGUUCCCAGGGUCACGCCAUCCUCGCCUUCCCCUCCGGAGCUCCGUUCUUCCAUCUGGGUCCUUUGGCCUCCAGCCUUCCCUCUGUCCUCACAGUCCCAGGGCCUCCAGAGCCUCUGCAGAGUGAGGCUGCACAGAUGGACCUGAGCCGUGGUCUCUCCUCCCCAGUCUGCCAUCGCCCCAGGGUGGGGUUAAAGCUGCCCGGCUAACCCACAUCAAAGGCCAUACCCAUCUUGUCCCCAUCCAGCCCCCCUCCGGCAUCCCCGCCUCUCCACUCCCCGCCCUGGCCUCCUCGUGCUUGUUCUGCCCAUGGAAUGUUCUUCAGCGGCUUCUCCAUGGAACAGACUCAUCUUCCAAGACCCAAAUGAAUCCCCGUCUCCUCUGAGAAGAUCUCCUAAGUCUCUGAGCACCCUGUGUCCCGCAGCCUAGCACCCUGUCCUUGGAGCCCGCUCCCCUCCCUCAGUCCGCGUUGCGGCACUGUUCGUGUUCACCCUGCUCACUCCCUUGAUCGCAGCCCCUGGCAGAAAGACGUGGCUGAGCCCCACUCUGUGCCUCAAAAACAUACACAGCAGUCCUUUUAAAUUUUUUUUUUAACGUUUAUUUAUUUUUGAGACAGAGAGAGACAGAGCAUGAAGGGGGGAGGGGCAGAGAGAGAAGGAGACACAGAAUCGGAAGCAGGCUCCAGGCUCUGAGCCAUCAGCCCAGAGCCUGACGCGGGGCUCGAACUCACGGACCGCGAGAUCGUGACCUGAGCUGAAGUCGGACACUUAACCGACUGCGCCACCCAGGCGCCCCAACA